rnacentral:hammerhead_ribozyme from 1 species
ACACUGAUGAAGAGUCCCACACUAGGACGAAUCGGCCGUCCAGUGU